AUUCCUUUUUUAUCUUUAAAAGUAGGCCAGCCAGAAAUCCAUCUGUGCAGGCUUGGAUACAGGAACCAGAGUCUGGACUAGCUAAUCUCCCCAAAUCUUUUCUAGGCCUUCUCUAUUACCAUGCUUUAUGGGAAUUACUUCUCUUUGGUAAUUAAUUACAGAAAUGUGAAAAGUGAAUUGGCAGGAAGAAAAAAGGAUAACUUUACCAUGGAGUAACCUGGCAAACACUACUUCAGGCAAGUGCUGAAGUAGCCCCCUAUAAGAGGCAGCAUUUCACGGAGGGAGUACGGAGAUUUAAAGAAGAUUUGAUGUUUCAAGAUACUUCAUAUAAAUGAAAGCAUACCUGAUGUGAUCUUCUGUGUCUAGCUUUCUUCGCUUCGUGUGACAUUUUUGAGAUGUGUCAAAUUCAUCCUUUUUUCUUGAUGAACAGUAUUUCAUUGUGUGGAUGUACUCCAUUUUGUUUGUCUCCUCACUGGUUGGUGGAAACUUGGAGUUGUGUCCAUUUCUUGGCUUUUGUGAAUCAUGCUGCUAUGGAUAUUCAUGUGUUCAUUUUUAUGUGGACAAAUCUUUCAUUUCUCUGGGAGUGGAAUCACUGGCUCAUAUGAGUCCACAACCUCAGUCCAAUCAUAAGAGAAACAUCAGACAGAUUCCAAUUGAGGGACAUUCUACAAAAUACCUCACCAAAUAUUCACUAAAAUACUCUUCAAAAUUGUCAAGGUCAUCAAAAACAAGGAAAAGUGAGAAACUGUCAGUCAAGAGGAGCCUAAGGAGACAGGAUAACUAAGUGUAAUGUGAUGUCCUGAAACAGAAAAAAGGACAUGAAGUAAACUAAUGAAAUCUGAUGAAGCAAUGGAUUUAGUUAAUAACACGUCAAUAUUGUUUUGUUAAUUGUAACAAAUGUGUCUGAGUAAUGUAAGGUGUCUAGAGGA